UACGAAGGGGGCUAGCGUUGUUCGGAAUUACUGGGCGUAAAGGGCGCGCAGGCGGCCCUCCAAGUCAGGCGUGAAAGCCCCGGGCUCAACCCGGGAAUAGCGCUUGAGACUGGGGGGCUUGAGUUCGGGAGAGGAGAGUGGAAUUCCCAGUGUAGAGGUGAAAUGCGUAGAGAUCGGGAGGAACACCAGUGGCGAAGGCGGCCUUCUGGACCAGCACUGACACUCAAGCACGAAAGCGUGGGGAGCAAACAGG
rnacentral:rRNA from 1 species